GACAGAGGGUGCAAACGUUGUUCGGAAUUACUGGGCGUAAAGCGCGUGUAGGCGGCUCGGCAAGUCGGGUGUGAAAGCCCUGGGCUUAACCUAGGAAGUGCACUCGAAACUGCCAAGCUUGAGUUCUGGAGAGGAAGGCGGAAUUCUCGGUGUAGAGGUGAAAUUCGUAGAUAUCGAGAGGAACACCUGCGGCGAAGGCGGGUUGCUGGGCCGACACUGACGCUGAUGCGCGAAGGCCAGGGGAGCGAACGGG
rnacentral:rRNA from 1 species